rnacentral:lncRNA from 1 species
CUGUUGUUAGUCCUUUGGAUAUUAAUGUCAAACUUCAUGCUGAUUCUGGUGAUCUUUUCUCCUCCCCUGAUCAAUGCAGGAGUCUUGUCGGUAAACUCCUAUUUUUUACUCACACUAGGCCUGACAUCUGUUUUGCUGUUCAGCAUCUGAGUCAAUUUCUGAAGUGUCCCAGAAUCCCUCAUAUGACUGCUGCCCUCCAUGUCCUCAGAUAUCUUAAGGGCACUUUAUCUUUGGGUUUGUUCUAUUCUUCCAGUUCUGAUUUCUCUGUUACUGCUUAUUCUGACAGUGAUUGGGCUUCCUUCCCUGAUACUCGCAGAUCUGUUACUGGUUUUUGUGUUAUAUUGGGUGGUUGUUUGAUUAGUUGGAAGUCCAAAAAGCAACCUGUAGUCUCCUUAUCUUCUACUGAGGCAGAAUAUAGGGCUCAGUAAGGUGGUAGCUGAAUUGUCUUGGCUUUCUCGUUUGCUAACUGAUAUUGGAGUUUCUGUUUCUCUUCCCUUCUCUGUUUUUUGUGACAGCCAGGCUGCCAUUCAUAUUGCCAAGAAUCCUGUUUUUCAUGAACGGACUAAGCAUAUUGAGGUAGAUUGUCACUUUAUUCGGGAUCAGCUGACUGGUGGACUCAUUACUAUUUCCCAUGUGCCUACUUCUCGACAGCUUGCUGACCUCCUCACCAAGCCUCUGCCUGGGACUGUCCUCCUUAGGGAUCACCUGACUGAUGGCCUCAUUACUAUCUCCCAUGUCCAUACUUCUCGACAGCUUGCUGACCUCCACCAAGCCUCUGCCUGGGACUGUCCUCCAUCCUCUACUGCUCAAGUUGAAGGUGGUCUCCCGCUCAAGUUGAAGGUGGUCUCCCCCUCCAACUUGAGGGGGGGGGGGUGUUGAGCUACAAGAUUAUCUAGCUUCAAAAC